rnacentral:lncRNA from 1 species
GGCAAAACGAGUGGGAGCAGGUCGAAGUAUUUCUUUUCCUUCAGUAAACUUUCUCUUCAAAUGCAAUGGGUAGCAAUGAUUGUAUAAGUAUUUUGUGAUUUUUGAUGCCUGAGAUACGACAUUACUAACUUCAUCAAGCUUACCAAUAUCAUGAAACAUUAGAUUAAUGCAAUGUCCUGCACAUGGAGACCAAAAUAAUGUUUGAAACUCUUAUUCCAAUAACCUACCAGCGGCAACAUAAUUUGCAGCAUUGUCUGUCACCAUAUGGACCAUAUAUUCUGAACUUACAAAUAACAUAACAUCUCAAAAUAAUUUGUACAACAUGUCAGCAGAUUUUGAUUCAUUUGAAGCAUCUACAGAUUUUAAGAAUAUUGUUCCAUUUGGACAAUAAACUAAAAAAUUAAUGAGAGUUCUUCUGCAUUGAUCUGUCCAACCGUCUGCCAUAAUUGUAGAACCUGUAGCCUUCCAUGUUGAACGAUAGUUUUCAAUGUAAUUCUGCACCUUCUUGACAUUUUUAGGCAAAAAAUAACCUCUAAGACUGUGAAAGUUUGGACCUUUAUAGCCAGGGCCCAUGCUAGCUAUGACAUCUAUACUUUGUUGAUAAUACACAGAAUUUAUAGCAUUGAAAGGAAUACACGAAUCGGUCAUCCACUUCGAUAGAGUAAGAUCACACUUUUCGAUGACUUCUUUGCUCUGAAGAACACGUUUGAUAGUAGGUUGGUUACCAGGACCUGUUCUUGGCAUGAAGUAAGAACCAAUCCCCUUUUGUUCUUUUAAGUGUUUAACUCCACUUUCCUUUCUUUCAUUUGUCCCAACAACUGUACCCUUUCCUUUAGAAUUAUGAGGGAUUUUUUCUUGAACAUCAUCAUCACCCAAAUCUCUAUACAUUUGCUCUUCUUUUUCCCGAUAGUAAGAACUAUGUGGGUUACACCCAUCAAGAAUUUUUUGAGUUUUACACUUCUUUGCAGCAAAGACGUCCAAGUUUUCUUUCAUUUGAAUCUAACAUCCGGAGGUACUUUACGACAUGAAUCAACGUCACCUUUCAUUCCCGCUAAGUGGUGUUUGACUCGAUUGAUACCACCUCCGACGAAAGUCUUUCCACAAUACAAGCAAAUAAGGUUUUUUUUUUGUUUAUAUUUCUAUUAUUACUAGCUUCUAAUAUCUCUUUACAAUGACCCCAUGCAAUAUCUAUUUUUCCUCUAGCACAAUUCUUUAGUGGAGAUGAACUAUGCGGUGUACUAUUAUCACCAAUGAACUAUACGAAGGAAAAAAAACUAUAUAUCAUGCUUGUUCACCAUUGGAAAAUUAAUGAACAUAGGCUACUCAAGAAAUUGCUAAUUAACAUCAAGGAAAUGUACAUGAAGUUGAGGCAAUUUCAUAAGACUUGACAUACGACAUCAAUCUCAACAGACAUCAAUACAUCUAAGACUUUUCUACAUAUAUGUAUUAAUGAAUUAUUAGACUAAAAUCAGAAAAGAUUAUUAAUUUCAAGUUAACGGUUUGUUUUGUUCUAAUUUGGUCUCCAAAUACCUCUACAAUACAUCUAAGAAGUAAUGCAACUAUUGGAUAAAUGUCAUGUCAUGUAACUCAACAAUAAGCAUAAUAAAUUAAUAAAAGCUCAAACUACAACUAGCAAUACAUCUACUUACUGCUCAUAAUGAAAUAGAAUUAUAGGAACUCAUUCUCACUGGGACCUCGCUUCAAAUUAAAACAUCAUGAAAAUUAACAUAAAGUUAUAACAUCACAGUACAUAACAUCACACUAAUGAACUCCAGCUCCAUCAAAAGAAAAAGGCAAGAGAAAAUUGGAAAUGAAUCUAACUCUGGCAGAUUCAUGCAACAUGCUCUUGCUCAUCCAUUAAAUAAUUACCAUAGAGAUUAAUAUUCCAAGCAUAGUUAUAACAAGAAGGAAAUAGAACGAAGUGAAGCUCUUGACAAUUUACAACGUUAUUCUUUGAAAAUGUGAACUGGUAGCAAGUGAUUCCAUAAGAAUGUCAAGAAUGAGUAUGAUUAAUCAAAUUAGCCAACUGUAGGUUUGUUAUUGUUGAAUUUAUUUUUCAGUGCACUGGCCACCUGCUUGCUGCUAGACUAGUGACAACACUUACGAGGAGAAAAACAUCAGUGUUGCCUUCCAAGUUGUCAACAACACUCUCAAUAUCAUAACAGUAUACCCA